AUUGAACGCUGGCGGCAGNCCUAACACAUGCAAGUCGAGCGGCAGCACGGGAAGCUUGCUUCCUGGUGGCGAGCGGCGGACGGGUGAGUAAUGCAUAGAAAUCUGCCCGGUAGUGGGGGAUAACCUGGGGAAACCCAGGCUAAUACCGCAUACGUCCUACGGGAGAAAGCAGGGGAUCUUCGGACCUUGCGCUAUCGGAUGAGUCUAUGUCGGAUUAGCUUGUUGGUGAGGUAAUGGCUCACCAAGGCGACGAUCCGUAGCUGGUCUGAGAGGAUGAUCAGCCACAUCGGGACUGAGACACGGCCCGAACUCCUACGGGAGGCAGCAGUGGGGAAUAUUGGACAAUGGGCGAAAGCCUGAUCCAGCCAUGCCGCGUGUGUGAAGAAGGCCUUCGGGUUGUAAAGCACUUUCAGUGGGGAAGAAAGCCUUGGGGCUAAUACCCUCGAGGAAGGACAUCACCCACAGAAGAAGCACCGGCUAACUCCGUG
rnacentral:rRNA from 1 species